GGCCGCUUAACUCAAUGGUAGAGUGUCAGAUUUCUACAGCCCUCCUUAUAUGAGGCAUUAUUGAGUCUCUCUGAAGGUUAUGGGUUCAAGUCCCAUAGCGGUCU
rnacentral:tRNA from 1 species